AUCUCUUGCACUCGUUCCUGCAACAUCUCAAUCAUGGUUUCUCGCGUCGUGUUGGUCGUGCUGGUGGUGGUCGUCCUAGCGGCCGCAGCAGUGGCUCUCCCUGACCCCACGAAACGGCACUUGGGAUACGGCUUGUACGGAGGAUACGGCCUCGGAGGAUUUGGCUUGGGAGGCUACGGAGGAUACGGAGGCUAUGGAUCCCACUAUCCCUAUUACGGAUCCUACUACGGAUAGGUAUGGUGGCGUACAUAGUGAUCUCUGUACCUUUCUUCUACAAAAUCCAAAAUAUCUUUGUCUUCAAUAAAAAAAAAA